rnacentral:rRNA from 1 species
UACCUACGGGACGCAGCAGUGGGGAAUAUUGCACAAUGGGGGAAACCCUGAUGCAGCGACGCCGCGUGAGCGAUGAAGUAUUUCGGUAUGUAAAGCUCUAUCAGCAGGGAAGAAAAUGACGGUACCUGACUAAGAAGCCCCGGCUAACUACGUGCCAGCAGCCGCGGUAAUACGUAGGGGGCAAGCGUUAUCCGGAUUUACUGGGUGUAAAGGGAGCGUAGACGGUUCUGCAAGCCAGAUGUGAAAGCCCGGGGCUCAACCCCGGGACUGCAUUUGGAACGGUAAGGCUAGAGUGUCGGAGAGGG